AACAUCCAAGGGGUGCUUACUUGAACGAUCCGUUGUCGUUAUGCUCUAUGACAUAUUUAUUUGAGAAUAUUACGUAUUGAUUUGGUGGUGGUUGUAAUAUUAGAUAUAUAAUUCGUCUGCAGUGGUUUAUAGUCGAGUUAUUUAUCUGUAAUUGUUAUGCUAAAUAUAUGUUCUGUCCAGGAGAACAAGUCCAAAGAGAAAUGUCCGUUUGAAAAUUAUUCACUAUAUAUUUGUAUAUGAAAUUGGUUUAAUGGAAUUCAAGUGGUAGCUUUUAUAUUUAGAGUUAAUAUAUAGUGAAUAUUAACUGAACCCGUAGUCCCCACUAAGCUUCAUCCCUCACGAUUGUGACCUAUUAAUAAAAACAUCCAAUUAAUUACUCUGUUUUUAUUACUCAUUUCUAAACCAUUUUGAUAAGUACUAAAACUUCUCUCUCCAUCACAUCUUACUCUUUCGUUAUUCGCAACAAAUUGACAAAAUGAGUACAUCAUCGAAAUGUCUACACUCUAUCACACAAUCUAGCGACACACAGGUUAAAUUUUUCAAUUUUUUAAACAAUAUAGUUUACAUUCAUUCCACAAAGUAUAUGUAACUUCUAUAAACUUUCGUCUUCGUUGUCAACAGAGGAAGAUUGCAAGAUUAUACAUUCCGGAACCAAUUCUCGCACUAAUUGUUAGCCACGUUUCAGAAGAAGGAAUUGAGGCUCUGAAAAACUGGAUUAAAUCUGGUCAUGAAGGGAAAUCUGCAGCUUUCUCUGUCGAGACACUAUCCCGAGUUCGUUUAGAUAAAAGCCCUGACUUCAUCAACAUGUCUUCACCCGACUCUGUUCACUUCUCAUUCUACUCCAAAUGUCUUGCAAAAAGAAACCCUUACGCUAUGUAUCUCCAGAGCUUGAGGCUAGGGUUCUGUUCUCUCCACAUGAAAGGCGCCAUUUCAUUACUGAAUGAUUGUAAAGAUGUCAUUCCUAUAGCCAAGCUUCUUUACAUUGCGCUAAACCGCUGCGCAGGUAAUGAAGUAUUAGACGCGUUUAAUACUUUCAAACGAGAGAACAAGUGUUUUACAGAUGUAGAUAUCAUGGCCAAGACACUAAUUGACCACAUUUCUGAUUUGGAACCAAAACGAUUCGGAUCUUACGCUGAGCUCUUUUAUUAUGAGGAUUAUCCAGACUGUUGGGUCAUCCAUGAAUUUUACAACGAAUAUAAUGGUGAGAGAUGUUCACAUUGCGUCUACUUCUUCCUCUUCAGAGACAUCCUUUUGCUUUCCUAGUUUAUUUAAAAACAUGAGUUACCCACUUUCAGAAUAUAACUAUCUCUUCUGUUUCCCUCUUUUAUCUAGUUUAUUAAUGUAAUCUUAUUAUGAAGUUGUAUUUCUCUCUUGUAUUUAACGUUUAAACUAGUGAACAUCUUUCUCGUUUAUCAUAACUUAUAGGGACUCUUUCGAUUUUGGAGCAUGCAUAGCAAAAUUUUCCGACUAUACUAAUUUCAAAAAUACUUAAGAUUGGUUAUAUCUGAUUGGUCUGGGGCUUUUGGAUAGACAUAUAAAUAUUCAUUUCCUAUCUACAUGUAAAUAUUCAGAGACAUCCAUUUCAUUACCAAGUUGUAAAAAGUUUUUUAAUAUUAAAAACUAAGCUAUAUAAUAUGAAAUCACAUGUAUUAGUCGAUAUUCUCUAUUCUAUAUUAUCCGAUUCAGUAAAUGUCCACAUUUUUUAUUCAGAAUCAACAAACUUCUAACCUUACAUGCACUUUGUAAAUCUGACAUGAUCUGAAAAAUAAUUUGCUCACAAUUACUAAUUUUUCAACAUAUAACUGAUUGGGGAAUCUUACAAUAUUGAAUCAUGUAAAUCGAACUAAUCUUACAAAU
rnacentral:sRNA from 1 species